rnacentral:rRNA from 1 species
AUUGAACGCUGGCGGCAGGCCUAACCCAUGCAAGUCGAGAGGAGCGGCGGACGGGUAAGUAAUUCCUAGGAAUCUGCCUGGUCGUGGGGGAUAACGUCAGGAAACGGGCGCUAAUACAGAAUCCUAUAAGAUGAGCAUAGGUCGGGUUCGCUAGUUGGUGGUGUAAAGGCCUACCAAGGCGACGAUCAGUACCUGGUCUGAGAGGAGGAUCAGUAAUACUGGAACUGAUACACGGCCCAGACGCCUACGGUACGCAGCAGUGGUGAAGAUUGGACAAUGGGCGAAAGCCUGAUCCAGCCAUGGCGCGGGUGUGAAGAAGGUCUUCGGAUUGUAAAGCACUUUAAGUUGAGAGGCGUUACCAACAGAAUAAGCACCGGCUAACUUCGUGCCAGCCGCCGCGGUAAUUC